ensembl:lncRNA
AUGAGGUCUCCUCCGAGCCUCCUCUUCUCCGCACUCCAGUCCUCCAUGUCCCUUUGGGGUCCCCAUCUCCUUUUGGGAUCCUCCAUGUCCCACUGGGGUCCCCAUGUCCCAUUGGGGUCCUCCAUGUCCCAUUGGGGUCCUCCUUUUCCCUUUGGGGUCCUCCAUGUCCCAUUGGGGUCCCCAUGUCCCAUUUGGGUCCCCAUCUCCUUUUGGGAUCCUCCAUGUCCCACUGGGGUCCCCAUGUCCCUUUGGGGCCCUCAUUUCCCAUUGGGGCCCUCAUUUCCCAUUGGGUCUCCAUGUCCCUUUUGGGUCCCUAUCUCCUUUUGGGAUCCUCCAUGUCCCACUGGGGUUCCCAUGUCCCACUGUGUUCCUCCAUGUCCCACUGUGUUCCUCCAUGUCCCAUUGGGGUUCCCAUGUAUCAUUGGGUUCCUCCAUGUCCCACUGGGGUCCUCCAUGUCCAUUUGGGGUCCUCCUUUUCCUUUUGGGGCCCCCAUGUCCCAUUGGGUUCCCCCAUGUCCCGCUGGCUCUCCAGCCUACCCAGCCCCCUCUGCAGUCCGUCUCCACCCGCAGGCAGAUCCACACUUCCACCCAACUUGCCGUCAAACUCCCCGAGUUUCCCUCCACGCCCUCAUCAACCAAGAUAUUGAGGAGGACAGACCCCAAACCCGACCCCUGGGGGCCCUGAUCCCCAACGGACCUGAAGGUGCGACCCAAGCAGGACGGCCAUGGCAGGCUGCCCAAAGUGAGCAGGACGCCUCCCAGCAACCCCGACUGCACAGCUGGAAUUUCUUCCUCUCGUCCUUCCAGCCAGCAGGAAGGAUGCUCACAUCCGACCCAAAGCGACGCCCUGCCAGCGGGCUUUUGUCACAUGAGUUCCUUCAUGUCCCAUUGGGUUCCCAUGUCCCAUUGGGUUCCCCAUGUAUCACUGGGGUUCCCAUGUCCCAUUGGGUUCCUCCAUGUCCCAUUGGGGUUCCCAUGUCCCAUUGGGUUCCUCCAUGUCCCAUUGGGUUCCUCCAUGUCCCACUGGGGUCCCCAUGUUCCAUUGUGACAUUGGGGACAAUGGGGACAUUGGGGUCAAUGAGGACAAUGAGGUCAUAGGGAACACUGGGGACAAUGGGGACAUUGGGAACAAUGGGGUCACUAGGGUCAGUGGGAUCAAUGAGGACACCGGGGUCAAUGAGGACAUUGGGACCGCAGCGAACGACAGCCGCCCCUCAGUUGGCUUCAUUUCUUAGAACCCAGCAAAGCGUCAGCGCGUUUCUGAAGUUUAGAAAAACCCUUUCAGAAAUGCCUCGAAUAUGGAAAAAUCGCGGCAAAAUCAGAGCAUCACCAAGGUUGGAAGAGACAUCCGAAAAAUCCUUUCAAAGAUGCCUCAAAUAUGGAAAAAUCGUGGCAUCAAGGUUGGAAGAGAUAUCUGAAAACCCUUUCAGAAAUGCCUCGAAUAUGGAAAAAUCGUGGCAUCAAGGUUGGAAGAGAUAUCUGAAAACCCUUUCAGAAAUGCCUCGAAUAUGGAAAAAUCGUGGCAUCAAGGUUGGAAGAGAUAUCUGAAAACCCUUUCAGAAAUGCCUCGAAUAUGGAAAAAUCGUG